rnacentral:rRNA from 1 species
CUGAACCUACGGGGGGCAGCAGUGGGGAAUAUUGCACAAUGGGGGAAACCCUGAUGCAGCAACGCCGCGUGAAGGAAGACGGUUUUCGGAUUGUAAACUUCUUUUCUUAGUGAAGAAGCAAGUGACGGUAGCUAAGGAAUAAGCAUCGGCUAACUACGUGCCAGCAGCCGCGGUAAUACGUAGGAUGCGAGCGUUAUCCGGAAUUACUGGGUGUAAAGGGAGCGCAGGCGGGACUGCCAGUUGGCUGUGAAAUACCGCCGCUUAACUUCGGAGAUGCAUCCAAAACUGUAGUUCUUGAGUGGAGU